UUUAUUAUACUGUGUAUUGAAGAACUGCACCAUGUCAUGAAAAAGUAUUUGCCGCUUCCUGGUUUCCUCUAUUAUUCUAUUAUUCCUUUAUCUAUCUUUGGACAAAAUGUAAUGCCAGGGAAACUAGUAAAGGCUAAAUAAUUUUUUUCAAUUAUAAUUUCAUUUAUUAAAUGUAAAAAAAAACUUAUCAAACACCCCUAUCUUCUAUGUGAAAAAAGUCAUUUCGCCUUCAGUUACUCAAUCAACUAGUUAACCAAAUUUAAUUGGUUAACACAUUUAAUUAGAUUCAGCGGAUUGAAUACAGCCAGGCAUAAUUGCAACCAGCCCUGUUGAAUUAAAAUCUUACACAUAUUGAACCUUACCAUCAGAGUUUAGUAGUCACCAUGAAGUUUCUACAAGCACACUAUGCCACGAUCAAAGGAAAUACCAGAAGAGCUGAGGAAAAACAGUUGCUGAAGUAUAUCAGUUUGGAAUGGCGUAUUUCAGGAGGACCCUCUAGUGGUUCAUUGGGCCUGCAGCUUUCCUGACAGUCCCUGUUCUGUAUUGGCGGAGACCAGAGGAUUACCGUUGUCUUUGAUAGCUAUUUUAAUUUUUUAUUUAAGUUGCUUUCAUUUAAGUUUUGCUCUGUUCUGUAUUAAUGCACUAUGGAGCUUCUCAAAAUGGUUCUUCCCAAUAUCCCAAUUUUUUUUCUUAUGGUGUGGUUUAUUGAGGGAAUUCCAAUUAUCCCAGGAUCAAUCAAUCACUCAGUCAGCCAAUACAUUUUUAUUUAUAUAGCAUAUUUCAUGCACCUUAGUGCAACACAAAGUGAUUCACUGGUAAUAAAUUAAGAGCAUUAGAUUAAAUGGCAUUGAAAAUAAAUACAGCAAAGUGCAAAAAGAGGAAAUGAAAUAAAUAAGAUCAAUAAAAUCAAUAAGAUCAAUAAAACUAGAACAGUAGGAACUGAGCAAUGUUAAAAAAAUGUAUCUUGAGUUCCUUCUUUAAACCAUCCAAGGACUGAGCAGCCCUCAGAUUCUCCGGCAGACCAAAGGCUGGGCCCACAACCAAAGGUCCAAGUCUUGUAUCUUGGUGUAAACAAGAAGUUACUGUCCAAGGAUCUGAGGGCCCCGUUGGAACAUACCUUAAAAGCAAGCCAGAUUGGUGAUGUGGGGGUGCCAUGAAAAGACUAUAAAGUAAAAUCUGGUCAUUUUUGUUUGUGUUUAUAUUUUUCUUUUUUAUUCUUUGAUAAUUUUAGAUUGGAAAUUCUGUUUAAAUUAAAUUUUGCAUUGCCACAUCUGUUCCUUGUUUAUUGUGGGGAUAUAUGGUGACCAGAAAGAUGUCAAAGAGUGAUUGGUCUAGAUUGCUUUCUGGUACUCCCCUCAGCUAUUUUGGACCCAUCUGUAGAAUUUAUGAAUGUUAUACAGUUCACUGGGCUGCGUGGAUGUAUUUUUAGUUCCUGGCCUUUUCAUAUACACUGUAAUUUGGCUGUGAUCUGAGGGGUUAGUAGACUGAUUGUGAAGAGAAUGAAAGAAAAUGGAUUGAUAUCUUGUCAACAAUACUGUUGCCACGAUGUGAGCUGGAGAUGUAUCUCCUAUAAGAGUCCCCUCUUAUCCUACCAUUGAAAAUGUACUGACCCAGUCAGAGUUGCACAAGUUCUUUCCAACUUUGGUUUGUUGUUUGCCAUAAUUACCCCUGUGUGAAUAAAUGGGAAAUGUAGGGUG